UACGUGGGACCCAAGCGUUAUCCGGAAUUACUGGGCGUAAAGAGUUGCGUAGGUGGCAGAGUAAGCAAGUAGUGAAAUGACGAGGCUCAACCUCGUGUCCAUUACUUGAACUGCUCAGCUUGAGGAUGAGAGAGGUUAUUGGAAUUUCUAGUGUAGGAGUGAAAUCCGUAGAUAUUAGAAGGAACACCGAUGGCGUAGGCAGAUAACUGGCUCAUUCCUGACACUAAGGCACGAAAGCGUGGGGAGCGAACGGG
rnacentral:rRNA from 1 species